GUGCCAGCAGCCGCGGUAAUACGAAGGGGGCUAGCGUUGUUCGGAAUGACUGGGCGUAAAGGGCGCGUAGGCGGCGCAUCAAGUCGGGCGUGAAAGCCCCGGGCUCAACCUGGGAACUGCGUUCGAGACUGGUGUGCUAGAGUUCGGGAGAGGAGAGUGGAAUUCCCAGUGUAGAGGUGAAAUUCGUAGAUAUUGGGAAGAACACCAAUGGCGAAGGCAGCUCUCUGGACCGAUACUGACGCUGAGGCGCGAAAGCGUGGGGAGCAAACAGGAUUAGAUACCCUGGUAGUCC
rnacentral:rRNA from 1 species